AACACGAGUGGCGGACGGCUGAGUAAUGCAUAGGAAUCUGCCCCGAACUGGGGAAGAGCGGCGGGAAACCGAAGGUAAUACCCCAUAGUCCUCACUUUUUGUGAGGUAAAGGAUGUAACUGUUCGGUUUGGGAUGAGCCUAUGUCCUAUCAGGUAGUUGGUGAGGUAACGGCUCACCAAGCCUAUGACGGGUAGCUGGCCUCAUGAGGGUGGUCAGCCAGAGGGGGACUGAGACACGGGCCCCACGCGUACGGGAGGCAGCAAUUAGGAAUAGUCGGCGAUGGGCGAAAGCCUGACCGCGCAAUGCCGCGUGUAGGAAGACGCUCUAACGAGUGUAAACUACUGUGGCGAGGGAAGAAGUCUUCGGAUUGACGGUACCUCGCUAGAAAGGGGCCGCUAACUGCGUGCCAGAAGCGUCGGUAAGACGUGGGCCCCGAGCGUUAUCCGGUGUUACUGGGCGUAAAGAGUCGUGUAGGCGGUUCGAAAAGUUACCUUUUAAAUCCCAAUGCUCAACAUUGGAACUGGAGGUAAUACUCUCGAACUAGAGUUCUCUACAGGGUGAAUGGAACUGUGGGAGGGGUAGUGAAAUGCGUUGAUCCCCACGGGAACACCAGUGGCGAAGGCGGUUCACUGGUAGAAGACUGACGCUGAGACACGAAAGCUAGGG
rnacentral:rRNA from 1 species